rfam:Stegodyphus mimosarum contig24164, whole genome shotgun sequence.
GCCUUCGUGGUGUAGUGGUCAGCACGCUGGGCGCGUAUUCCAGAGGUCCGUGGUUCGAGUCCUGGCGAAGGCG